CAGUCGCCACGGUAAUACGGAGGAUCCGAGCGUUAUCCGGAAUUAUUGGGUUUAAAGGGUGCGUAGGCGGAUAGAUAAGUCAGUGGUGAAAGACGGUGGCUCAACCAUCGCAAUGCCGUUGAUACUGUUUAUCUUGAAUAUGGAUGAGGUAGGCGGAAUGUGGCAAGUAGCGGUGAAAUGCAUAGAUAUGCCACAGAACACCGAUUGCGAAGGCAGCUUACCAAGGCAAAAUUGACGCUGAGGCACGAAAGCGUGGGGAUCGAACAGGAUUAGAUACCCCAGUAGUCCCUGUCUCUUAUAC
rnacentral:rRNA from 1 species